AACACCGCCGCCGCGCCUGCCACCGGCCGUCGCGCAGUGCCUCUCAGCGUCCCAGCGCCGCCGCGGCCCACCGUCGCCGGGGGGCGAAUCCGACGUCCCCGCCGCGAGGCAGCGCUGCGGUGCCUGAGGCGGCUUCCCGCCUCCUUCAAGCGACACGGCAUCGCAAUCGGGGUGCAAGCUUUUGCAACACCCACCCGAUUCGGCUGCCUUCGCGCCGCCGACGCCGCGCGCCGGAUGGGACCCCGUCCGGCGGCACCAGGGACGCCGGCUCCUCUCACUCUUCGGCACGGUGAUGAGCUGCCUUGAGUUCUUCACCUUCAGCAAAGAGCCGUGUUCAUACCCCGGCGGUAGUAGAUAUGACCCAUUCGCCUUCGCCUGUGCUACCUCACCGGUGUGCUCCCUUGCAGAAAUUAUCUAUGGCGGUCCAAGCCAGGUAAAAAUAAUUUUCGAAGAUGCAGUACCCGAUAUAAAAGAUACAAAGGUAAACUUUCACUCACAUUUGUUGUUCUUUGUGCAUCCAGCAUUUUAUCAAGAAAAUAAUAACUACACACACCUUUUGAGAUGCUAGGUACACUCAUAUAUCAUAUAUGCAUAGAACAAUGAGAGACACAAUAUCAAGACAAUUCAUUAUCGCAGGAAGUCUUGUUUGCUGAACAUUCUUGCUUGCUAAUUAACCCACAAUGGUUAAUCAUACUUUAAUUGAACUGCAAGAUUCGAAAGUGGUGCUAUAUAUUUGUAUUCAUGCAAAAUCUAUAUGUUGAUUGUGUCCUUGUUGCAUGGUAACCAAUCUAAAGUAUGUCCCAGCAGAACCCUUGCUCAUGAGGGAUGCAUGUGUGCCUGUCUCUAGAACAAUCCCUUUCUCAAGCACAGUGAUCACAUCACAGUUUUGGAUGGUGCUAAGCCUGUGUGCGACUACUAGACUGGUCCUACCGACCAGUAUUCUUUCAAGUGCCUCCUGUACCACCAUCUCGGAGUGGCUAUCCAAUGCACUUGUUGCUUCAUCCAAUAGCAAGAUAGCAGGGUUCUUUAAGAUUGCACGAGCAAUCGCAAUGCGCUGCUUUUGACCUCCUGAUAACUGAACACCUCUCUCACCACACCAUGUGUCGUAUCCAUCCUUGAGGCUAGUAAUGAAAUCAUGUGCAUUGGCAUUCCUUGCUGCACUCACAAUUUCUUCCUCAAUGGCUGUUUCAGUGCCAUAUACAAUGUUCUCUCUGAUGGUACCUGCAAAAAGUGUUGGUUCUUGGCUAACCAGUCCGAUGUGUUUUCGUAGGGCUCGUAGGUUAUAUGUUUUGAUGUCUAUGCCAUCGAUCUCUAUAGUCCCAGCAAGGGGAUCAUAGAACCGCUCGAUAAGCCCAAUGAUGGUUGACUUGCCAGACCCACUUUGCCCAACAAGAGCUGUUGACUUACCUGGCUGGAUGCUUAAGGAGAAUCCUUUGAAGAUGAUCACAUCUGGCCUUGAUGAAUACGCAAAAUCAAUUUCUGUAAUGUCCACCUUGCCUUCGAGAUUCUCUGGUUUGUAUCCCUCAGGGUUGUCAGGGUCAAUUUCGGUCUCCCUGUCAAUAAUUGAAAAAAGUGAAGUGAUUGCAUCAGCACCCUUGGCAAGGUCUGUUGUCAUACUACCUGCAUCUGCUAUCACACGUCCUGUGCUUAUCAAAAUCAAGAAGGUUUGAAAUAGGGCCUUGGAAGUAAGGCGAUGCUGAGCCAUGAGUAUCCCACCAUACCAAAAGGCGAGGGCCCAUAUACAUCUCAAAAUGCUCAUGGAGGUGCCGAGCCCCAGACCAGCAAACCAGGACUGCCUGAUACUUUCCUUGCGAGGGCCUUCCUGUGCUUGGUCAAAGAGGCGUAGGAUGCGGUCUUGGGAUGAGAAAGCAGUUACUGUGCGAAGAUUAGCGACUGCCUCAACAGCUAGCUUGCUACAUUCAGAUUGUGCCUGUAAUGAUUUCUUGGACAUGCUCUUUAGUAAGAUACGACGAGCAUAAAAGCAAACAAUGACAAGUGGUUGCACUACAAUCAUCACAAGCGCCAAACGCCAAGCGACUGCGAGACUCAUGAUGCAGGCAAUGAGUACUGCAGAAGUUGUUUGGAUGACAAGGGACAUUCGAUCACCGACGAGCGAUCUCACCUACAAAAAAAAUAUGAUCAUGAAUUAUUCUUCUCUAAUUUCUAAUAAACUUGGUUUCAGUAUUUGAACUUACAACGUUGGCAUCCUGGGCAAGUUGGGAGCAUAUGGCACCACUAGAGUUCUUAUCACUAUCGAACCACCCAAUCUCAAAAGUGAGUAUUUUUGAAAUCAUCUGUUCUCUUAUCCUUUUGGUGAGGUAUUCCCCCAUGACACCGAAGUUGUAAUGUUGCGCAAUAUUGAUCAGGAAUGAGACCAAUGCAAGACCAACGAAGAACAAUGAGUAGAUUCUGGUUUGAUCCUUCAUCUCUUUAUGAUCUGUCAAGAAGUAGAUCGAGACCAUGCUCCCCAUUGCGUAUGCGUACACAGGUUGUAUGCCUCCAACCACAAUUGCACUAAAGCUUCCCAUAAGUGCUUGCUUCCACUCCGGUGCAUUAAGCAUCAAUAGCCUUAUGAAGGAUGGCACAGGAAGCUUUAGCGGCUCAGUUUUGUUGUCAUUACCUUCAGCAUUACCCAUGGAUAGCGUUGGCAUUAUGAUUGACCUGCUUGCUGUGGAUAUCCUCUUGCUCAUACCAUGGCUGCCUGAUUGCUGCAUAAGAGAUGUACUUCUAGUUCUUCCACCAACCUCUUCAGAAUCCACUGUCUCUUUGGUCUGUUGAAGGUGGACAAGAGAUGAGUAGAGGCCAUUCUCAUUGGCAAUGAGCUCAUCAUGGGUUCCCAGCUCCUUGACCUCACCAGACUGCAUGACCGCAAUCGUAUUUGCGUUUUGGAUGGUGGAUAGGCGAUGGGCAAUGACAAUAGUAGUUCGACCAAUGGAGGCCAGUUCAAGCGCCUCCUGCAUAACACGCUCUGAAUUAGUGUCCAAUGCACUGGUGGCUUCAUCAAGGAGAAGGACCUUGGGUGACUUUAUGAUUGCUCUAGCAAUAGCAAUCCUUUGCUUCUGUCCUCCGGACAUUUGGACACCAUGCUCACCCACCUGUUUUAGUUCUAUACAUGGUUAGUGUCCAAGUAUGAGUAGCGUUUUAUGUGUCCAAGUAUGAGUAUCAUUUAUAUUUUUUAGAAGAAGAUAUCUAGUUUCAAGGUCAUUGGUUUCGUGGAUGUAAAACAGACACUUAUCAUGUAAAGCUAGCUAACGCUUGAGGUUGUAAGUUGUAACCAUAUGUAAUUUAUAGUGACCCAAGUUAGCAGUGGCAGCAAGUUAAUUUGUGCAUUCCAAUUGUGACAGCUGUUUAUAUGUUUUUAUAAGAAUAUAUCAGAAUA